rnacentral:piRNA from 1 species
UGACUGUUUAUGGUUAGGCACGAAGGCAAC